rnacentral:rRNA from 1 species
UACGUAGGGUGCGAGCGUUAAUCGGAAUUACUGGGCGUAAAGCGUGCGCAGGCGGUUUUGUAAGUCUGUCGUGAAAUCCCCGGGCUUAACCUGGGAAUGGCGAUGGAGACUGCAAGGCUAGAGUUUGGCAGAGGGGGGUAGAAUUCCACGUGUAGCAGUGAAAUGCGUAGAGAUGUGGAGGAACACCGAUGGCGAAGGCAGCCCCCUGGGCUAACACUGACGCUCGAUGCACGAAAGCGUGGGGAGCGAAACAAGG